GACGAACGCUGGCGGCGUGCCUAAUACAUGCAAGUCGAACGCUGAAGAGAGGAGCUUGCUCUUCUUGGAUGAGUUGCGAACGGGUGAGUAACGCGUAGGUAACCUGCCUUGUAGCGGGGGAUAACUAUUGGAAACGAUAGCUAAUACCGCAUAACAAUGGAUGACACAUGUCAUUUAUUUGAAAGGGGCAAUUGCUCCACUACAAGAUGGACCUGCGUUGUAUUAGCUAGUAGGUGAGGUAACGGCUCACCUAGGCGACGAUACAUAGCCGACCUGAGAGGGUGAUCGGCCAAACUGGGAAUGAGAAACGGCCCAGAAUCCUAAGGGAGGGAGCAGGAGGGAAUCUUCGGGAAUGGGGGCAACCCUGAACGAGCAACGCCGCGUGGGGGAAGAAGGUUUUCGGAUCGUAAAGCUCUGUUGUAAGUCAAGAAAGAGAGUGAGAGUGGAAAGUUCACACUGUGACGGUAGCUUACCAGAAAGGGACGGCUAACUACGUG
rnacentral:rRNA from 1 species